rnacentral:lncRNA from 1 species
GUAUGAUUUUUAUUUUUACUUUGGGCCCAGCCCGGUUUAAUAUCCUUAUGCAUGAUCUGGAUGAGGGGACUGAGUGUAUCUUCAGUAAGUUUACGGAUGACACCGGGACAGGAAGAGGUAUCCAUCUGCCUGAGGAUAGGAUGGCCCUACAGAAGGAUCUGGACAGGCUGGGUCACCGGGCUGAGGCCAAUCCUAUGAGCUUCAACAAGACUGAGUGCCAGGUCCUGCACUUUGGUCACAACAACUUUGUGCAAUGCUGCUGCCUUGGGGCAGAGUGGCUGGAAAGUUGCACAGAAGAAAAGAAUCUCAGGAUGUUAGUUGACAGCCAGCUGAGCAUGAGCCAGCAGCGUGUCCAGGUGGCCGAUAAGGCCAAUGGCAUCCUGCCUUGUAUCAGAAAUAGUGCAGUCAGCAGGGCAGGGAGAUUCUGUACUCAGCACUAGUGGGCCGCACCUCAAGUACUAUGUUAGUUUUGGGGCCCUCACUACAAGAAAGACAUUGAGGCCCUGAAGCAUGUCUAGAGAAGGACAAUGAAGCUGUGAAGGAUCUGGAGCACAAAUAUUAUGAGGAGCAGCUGAGGGAAUCGGGAUUGUUCAGUCUGGAGAUGAGGAGGCUCGGGGAAGACUUCAUCACUCUCUACAACUCCCUGAAAGGAGGUUGGGGUGAGGUGGGGAUCGGCCUCUUCUCCUGCAUCGCUAGCGAUAAAGGCAAGAGGGAAUGACCUUAAGUUGCGUCAGGGGAGGCUCAGGAGAUUAAGAAAAAUUUCUUCUCCAGAACAUGGUGAGAGUUCUUCUAUAGAAGAUGAUUGUUUUAGUUGUGUUAAAGAUUUUGCCUGAUCAUUGCAACUAACACCAGCUGAUACUUAAAAACUGUCUAAGGCUUCAUGUUGCAUCAUGACUCAGCAGAAGGAACCAGUCUGAAUUGGAAAGGGAGAGGUUCCCAGAGCUCAACAAACAUAUUUCCAAUUCCAGAGAUCCUCAACCAGUAUUCCCCCAUUUUAAACUUCAU